rnacentral:rRNA from 1 species
AGAGUUUGAUCCUGGCUCAGGAUGAACGCUGGCGGCGUGCCUAACACAUGCAAGUCGAGCGGAGUUUAUUAAAGGAAGUCUUCGGAUGGAAUUUAAUAAACUUAGCGGCGGACGGGUGAGUAACGCGUGGGCAACCUGCCCUGUACAGAGGGACAACAACGGGAAACCGUUGCUAAUACCUCAUAAAACCCUAAAGGGGCAUCCCUUAUGGGUCAAAGAAUUUCGGUACAGGAUGGGCCCGCGUCUGAUUAGCUAGUUGGUGAGGUAAUGGCUCACCAAGGCGACGAUCAGUAGCCGACCUGAGAGGGUGAUCGGCCACACUGGAACUGAGACACGGUCCAGACUCCUACGGGAGGCAGCAGUGGGGAAUAUUGCACAAUGGGCGAAAGCCUGAUGCAGCAACGCCGCGUGAGCGAUGAAGGCCUUCGGGUCGUAAAGCUCUGUCCUAAGGGAAGAAUUUUGACGGUACCUUAGGAGGAAGCCCCGGCUAACUACGUGCCAGCAGCCGCGGUAAUACGUAGGGGGCAAGCGUUAUCCGGAAUCACUGGGCGUAAAGGGUGCGUAGGCGGUCUUACAAGUCAGGGGUGAAAGGCUACGGCUCAACCGUAGUAAGCCUUUGAAACUGUAGGACUUGAGUGCAGGAGAGGAAAGUGGAAUUCCUAGUGUAGCGGUGAAAUGCGUANAUAUUAGGANGAACACCAGUGGCGAAGGCGACUUUCUGGACUGUAACUGACGCUGAGGCACGAAAGUGUGGGGGAGCAAACAGGAUUAGAUACCCUGNNNNNCCACACCGUAAACGAUGAGUGCUANGUGUUGGGGGGUCNAACCUCAGNGCCNCNNCUAACGCAUUAAGCACUCCNGCCUGGGGGAGUACNCUNNNNAANANUGAAACUCNAAA